CCUACGGGAGGCAGCAGUGGGGAAUUUUGGACAAUGGGCGCAAGCCUGAUCCAGCAAUGCCGCGUGCAGGAUGAAGGCCUUCGGGUUGUAAACUGCUUUUGUACGGAACGAAACGGCGAGCUCUAAUAAAGUUCGCUAAUGACGGUACCGUAAGGAUAAGCACCGGCUAACUACGUGCCAGCAGCCGCGGUAAUACGUAGGGUGCAAGCGUUAAUCGGAAUUACUGGGCGUAAAGCGUGCGCAGGCGGUGAUGUAAGACAGAUGUGAAAUCCCCGGGCUCAACCUGGGACCUGCAUUUGUGACUGCAUCGCUAGAGUACGGUAGAGGGGGAUGGAAUUCCGCGUGUAGCAGUGAAAUGCGUAGAUAUGCGGAGGAACACCGAUGGCGAAGGCAAUCCCCUGGACCUGUACUGACGCUCAUGCACGAACGACGUGGGGAGGACGAAACAGGAGUUAGUAUACCUACGGUAGUCCGACCGACCCGUAACCGACUGUCACUAGGUUGGUUGGGUUCGUUCUACUGACUCAGUAACGAAGACGUACGACGUGAGUGACCGCCGUGGGUAGGUUACGGCGCGAGGUUAGUAACGUUAAGUUAGAGUAGACGGCGUUGAGACGNGCCGACGGACGACGACGAGGGGAGGUUAGG
rnacentral:rRNA from 1 species